rnacentral:rRNA from 1 species
GUGGGGAAUCUUAGACAAUGGGGGAAACCCUGACCCAGCGACGCCGCGUGAGGGAAGAAGGCCUUAGGGUCGUAAACCUCUGUUGUGUGGGAAGAAGAGCGUGACGGUACCACACGAGGAAGUCCCGGCUAACUACGUGCCAGCAGCCGCGGUAAUACGUAGGGGACGAGCGUUGUCCGGUUUUACUGGGCGUAAAGGGCGCGUAGGCGGCCAUUUAAGUCAGCUGUGAAAUGGUGCGGCUUAACCGCAUCAUGCGGUUGAAACUGGAUGACUGGAGUGCUGGAGAGGCAAGUGGAAUUCCCAGUGUAGCGGUGAAAUGCGUAGAUAUUGGGAAGAACACCGGUGGCGAAGGCGACUUGCUGGCCAGCAACUGACGCUGAGGCGCGAAAGCCAGGGGAGCAAACGGGAUUAGAAACCCUGGUAGUCC